CAGACGUGGGUCAUAAUUUCACAAAAAAUCAAAUUAAUUAUUAAGUAAAAACAUCCAGAAUUUUAGGUUCGUGUUUCCACGUUACUAACUGUGAUAUUGGACAAUUUAAAAAGAUAUUCCUCUGACACCUAAGGUCAAGAAGAUAAAUUUUGGCUGCCUCGACCGGAAUGUCGUCGAGAACCUUCCAUAGAAGCGGCCCCAGGGAGGAGCGGAGUUUCAUUACAGAUGCUAUUAUGCUGGCAGUGUGAUAGUUAUUGUAGACUAUUCAAAGAGUUUCUUGAUUGUUAACUUUGGUACAAAUACAUACAUUAUAUGUCAUGUGAAUACAAUGUA